UAUCUGGAAAUUUCUCCAAAACUCUUUCCCACGUGAGUCCCAUGGCUCGGGAAUGGUGUGGUUCUGCUCAUUGACGGGUGUUGGCCAGAAACAGAAAAUGACAGCCUCAAAAGUGACUGGGACUUUUCAGUCAUGUUUUGUCAGUGCUGUUGACUUCAGAAAAUGCUUUCACAGUUUCUCUCCAUCUGAGGCGGCAGCGUGUUCUCUUACCAGAAUCAAGAGCUCAUGGCCACGGGAUGGUGGGGGUGACAGCACUGCCGUCAAGACAGCUAAACUGGUCACUGCAGGCGUGGUGGUUUUACGUAGUGCAUUUCAUGUUCUUUAAUAGAAGGUUUCAACAGGAAGUUAAUUAACUGAGUUAAUUAACAUUUAAUAAAUAUGAUGCUUUGUUGAAAAGACAGUUAUAGGCACAUUAUAAGCUCUGAAGGAUUUAAAAACAGUUUAAUUACUGAAAUUUCAGUAGGCAAGAUAUACAGUUUAUCUUAUUUGUGCAUCUCUUUUAAAGUAAAAAGGAAGCAAAACAGAAAAAUCAGAGGAUGCUUUCUGUUCUUCCUGUCUGUUUGCAGGCGCCCUCACCUCCAGUGGCAUCAAUCCAGAUACCAGCACUGACACUGGCCGUGCUCAGAACUGCCUCAGCCCUGAAGACAGAACUGACAAAUAGAAAGGGGCCACGCCCUGUUACAGCAGGUGCUCUCAUUUUGUGGGUCCUUAUGUAACUGCGCGGUGUUAAUCAGGAUCGCCCAUUCUACAUUGUGUGACACUGCUGCGGCGUCACCUAGUUACUUGUUUCUGAUCUGAGAAGCAGGAGAAAGGAACUCAGGGAGAGAUCCAAGAAGACAUCCAACUGUGUUAAGAGAGGACAGACACAGUGACACGGGGAGCGAGGACUAUCGCAGCAAAGUAAAGUGACUUCACAACUAUUGCAUCAGAGCUGCAGGUGUGAGAGAGCUUAAGCCUGUCUCAGAGUGUAGGGGACCAGCAGAAAGGAAUGUGUAAGAAUGCCGGUGACUCAGUUAGAAGCAUGCAUCCAAGCCGUCCUUCCGUGUCCUCACCAUCUAGAAGCGGAGCCUGAAUCUUCUGAAUUUCUCUAGAAUGUGGUUUACAAUCACCUUCGACAACAUUCCGAGGAGAGAAUUCAGCAGUGCAGCAUCCUCUCUGAGCUCUGUGAGUUGAUCGGCUUCCACUGCAAGUCCGCCCUCUUCAAGCGGGUGGCCCCCGUGCAGCGCGCGUCCCCUGGCAUCCCGGAGCCUGGCGGGGAGGCCUGCUACCGACUCCUUCUGCAGACGCUUCCUGGCUACAGUCUGUCGCUGGACCUGCAGGACUUCAACAAAGGUGUUGGAAAUAAAACAUUGCUUCAGUCUCAUUAACCAUGCUGGUUUGGGCCCUGCUGUCCUGUCUCAUCAGGGUGAAUUCUGAUUCGUGUAGAACAGGGCUCAGCACACUUUUUCUGUCAAGGGCUUGGGAGUAAAUAUUUCAGGGUCUGCAAACCUCCUGAUCUCUGGUGCAGCUGCUCAGCUCUGCUGUUCAGACGCCAGAGCAGCCGGACAAUCCACACACCCACAGAGCUUUAUUCACAGCGGUGGCUGUGGUCAGAUUGGGUGUGUGAACUGCAGUUUGUCCCCACAGCCUCCUCACUAUUGACGCCUGCACCAGAGCGUGCAUUUGCGACAGUGGGUGAACCUACACUGACGCGUCAUCAUCACCAGAGCCCAUAGUUGACACUAGGAUUUACACUUGGUGGUGUGCACUCUGUGGCUUUGGACAGAUGUACAAUGACACGUAUCCACCAUCACAGCAUCAUACAGAGUAAUCUGUCUUAGUGACCCUAAAAAUGCUCCGUGCUGCAACUCAUUCAUUGCUCCUUCCCCUCUAACUU